UACGUAGGGACCGAGCGUUGUCCGGAAUUACUGGGCGUAAAGAGCUCGUAGGUGGUUUGUCGCGUUGUUCGUGAAAACUCACAGCUCAACUGUGGGCGUGCGGGCGAUACGGGCAGACUUGAGUACUGCAGGGGAGACUGGAAUUCCUGGUGUAGCGGUGGAAUGCGCAGAUAUCAGGAGGAACACCGGUGGCGAAGGCGGGUCUCUGGGCAGUAACUGACGCUGAGGAGCGAAAGCGUGGGGAGCGAACAGG
rnacentral:rRNA from 1 species